GCGGACGUAGUGCACGGCGCACCACUGCCUUCAAUAGUGAAGCACGUAGCAGGAUGCAAGCAGUUGACGAGGUUCGACUCCCCGCGUCCGCC